rnacentral:lncRNA from 1 species
UGAGAAAGAAAAUAAGCUUUUGAGCUUUUAGGUAUUCGGCACUUUGGAGCUCAAAAUUAGGUAUGUUUCUUGUUCGGUUUUUGAUAAUUUUUACGUUUUUGAGAUCGUUGCUUUGUAUAUUACCUGGCCCAUGUUUUAUUUUUUGGAAUUGAUGAUGAUUUUGAGAAGUGCCAUUGUUGAUAAUGUGAUGAAAUUGUUGUUUGAUAAUGAAAAAUAAAUUUUUGAUGUUAGAUUAUUAUGUUUAAUUAAGUGAUUUUUAGUAAAAAAAUGUGUACUAAGGAUUUAAUUGUGACUUUUGUAUUGGCUCAACAUGUGAAAUAAAAUGAUAGAAAUGGGUGGCUAGGGACCUUGGGUAGAUUCGGCCUAACUAGAGUGGGUUGAAAUUUUGAAUAUUUUGAGUUGUUUUGAAAUAAGGACUAAAUUGAAAAAAAUGUGAAAUGUUAGGGGCUAAAAUGCAAAUUUCUCAUUUAUGUGUUUUUGGAAUAAAUUUGAAUAAAAUGUGUUAUUAAAUAGCUAAAUUUGACUUUAUUUAGAUCAAGAACAAAAGAAAACGAAAUUAGAUCGGGAGAAGUCGAAAGUGGUCGAGUAGUAUUUCCAUCCACUUGUCUUCGUCCGAGGUAAGUUCGUAAGUAAAUUAUUGAAGUUAAAUUUACUGUAUUUAUUUUAUGUAUAGUCGAAUCUAAAUGUGUAUCUGUACCCUAUUAUGUUGAAUUGUAUUUGACAAAUGAUGAUUAAUUAUGAGUUUUAAUUGGUUGAUUUACGAUAUCCGAAAGUCAUACGAACUACAGAAAUGCUGAAAUGUGACAUCGUGUAAGACCACAUCUGGGACGUUGGCCUCGAUUUGAUAUUUACGUGUAAGACCAUGUAUGGGACAUUGACGUCGUAUAUGAUUACGUUUAAGACCCUGUCUGGGACAGUGGCAUCGUUGUUUGAUUACAUGAAAGACCACGUCUGGGACGUUGGCAUUGUACGAGCUUUUUAAGCCGAUCGAGUAUCUUUUCUUUGAAUCCGCAAGGUAUAACGGGAAAUCAUAUGGUAAACCUGAAUGUGAGAUUGAAUUAAAUGAUUCAGGAACGUUUAAGUUAUACGAAAUUAGAAGUAAAGGUAAGUAAUAUGUAUAAUAUGAAAGAUGAAUUAAGUGUAUAAAUAUGAUUAUAUAUGUAUGUGUACAUGAUUAGUUGAUUUCGGCCUACUGGUGUAAUUUUUAUGAGUUCUUUGAAAAUUAUAUACUUACAACUUACUAAGCUAUUUAAGCUUAUUGUGUGUUUGUUCAUUCAUUUCUUUUUUAGAUUUUUGGAAGCUAGUUACGAGCUCGGGGAUCUUCAAGGAAGUCCGUCACACUAUCGACCUCUAUCUCGGUAUUUUAAAAGCUUGAAAUUUUGAACAUAUGGCAUGUAUAGGCUAGCAUUUGUUUUGGUUGGUCUUGAAUAUUGUAGAUAUUUAGCCAUGCGAAAAUGGCUUGGUUUAAUGCUAAUAUGCUAAUGUUUAAGAAAUUUUGGAACAUGGAAUAUUUGUGUGGUAUAUACUUAGUAUAUGAAUUUGGUAUGAUGCAAAGAUAUAUAUAUAUGGUAUGAUUAGUUCAUGUUGGUAAGCUUUUGUU